CCUACGGGUGGCAGCAGUCGAGAAUCUUUCACAAUGGGGGAAACCCUGAUGCUGCGACGCCGCGUGGGGGAAUGAAGGUCUUCGGAUUGUAAACUCUUGUCAUGUGGGAGCAAAUUAAAAAGAUAGUACCACAAGAGGAAGCGACGGCCAACGCUGCGCCAGCAGCCGUGGUAAUACGGAGGUCUCAAGCGUUGUUCGGAAUCACUGGGCGUAAGGCGUGCGGAGGCGGUUUCGUAAGUCGUGUGUGAAAGGCACGGGCUCAACCCGCGGACGGCACAUGAUACUGCGUGACUAGAGUACUGGAGAGGGAACCGGAAUUCCCGGUGUAGCAGUGAAAUGCGUAGAUAUCGAGAGGAACACUAGUGGCGAAGGCGGGUUCCUGGACAUUAACUGACGCUGAGGCACGAAGGCCAGGGGAGCGAAAGGGAUUAGAUACCCGUGUAGUC
rnacentral:rRNA from 1 species